UCAACACCUCAAAGCACUAUUCAUCCAGGCAACUUAAAAUCUGAUAACUUUCGCCAGAGCUCCUUGAAUGUCCGUUUGAGCUCAAACUUGGCAAUCAUAUUCGGUUUUACUUAACUUAACAAGCUGACGAUCGCUGGUUCAGUUUCGACCCCGUUUGGUCACUGAAACUGUACCGAACUGUAAUCUUUAUCAGAUAACUGUCGGAUUUUACUUCUCACUCUACGGGUGUCAGAAAAAUAUGAAACCUUAAAUCUAGCCUCAUAAAAAUAUUUCUGACAUCUCUGCCAAUUUUCAUAAUUUUCUGACACUGUGCAUUUUCUGCUAAUUUAUCUGCCCCGUUUCCAACAGAAAAUUCUAAAUCUUCUGUUUUAAUUCCGAUUUCAGCACAAGUCACUUCUGACUUAUGUUUUACUUCUAUAAAUCCAAUAAAAAUAGUUUCUCACACUAUUUUUAUUUAUUUUUAUUUUUAUACCGAAAUCUGGUAUGUUACACAAAGCUACAGAAGGUGUCAGUGACUAUAAAUGUAGAAAAGCGAAGGGUAAGUAAAAAUAUAACUUACUACAAUAUGAUAUCUCUACUUAGCAUAAAUAGCAUAAGUAUGAAAGCAACUAUACAUGAAGUAAAAGUCUCCAACUAUCAUAAAGUUCAUAAUGCGAAAUAGUAAAGUUCCGUUGUUUACUAUUCUAGUCAAUGUCCAAGUAAUACACUAAGUCAUCAUCUGUCCACAUGUCAUCAUGAAUACUCAAAGUCAAAUCUGAAGAGACCCACCCGAAGGCUGUCUAUGGCCCUGAGACCCAGCCGUAGGCUGUCUGGCCGGUGCCGAGCCUAAUGGCCCCGUGGUAGUCAUCAUCCCCACCCUAGGAAUGAACCUGGCCCACGGCAAUCCACUUCGGCGCCCAAUCCCGCACGGCGAAUAUGAAUCGCGAUGGCUAUCUCCGGAGUGCCGGCUUGUAGGGAGCGACCCUCACAAGCAUGUGCGAAUGAGCACAAUGGCAAGUAGUCAAACGAUCUGUCGCAAGUACCAAGUCCUCAUGUCUAAUAACAUGGAAUGUGUCAAGCAUCUCAAUGGCCUAUCCCUAUGUCAUCAUGUCUCUAACAUGGAAUAUAGCAGAUAUAUAGUGGCCUAUCAAUAUGUCUCUAUGUUGCAGUUUCAUAGUUUACUAGU
rnacentral:lncRNA from 1 species